rnacentral:rRNA from 1 species
GAUGAACGCUAGCUACAGGCUUAACACAUGCAAGUCGAGGGGCAGCACAGUGUAGCAAUACACGGGUGGCGACCGGCGCACGGGUGCGUAACACGUAUCCAAUCUGCCCGUUACUCGGGGAUAGCCUUCUGAAAGGAAGAUUAAUACCCGAUGGCAUUCAUUUGCGGCAUCGCUUAUGAAUUAAAGAUUUAUCGGUAACGGAUGAGGAUGCGUACGAUUAGCUGGUUGGCGGGGUAACGGCCCACCAAGGCGACGAUCGUUAGGGGUUCUGAGAGGAAGGUCCCCCACACUGGAACUGAGACACGGUCCAGACUCCUACGGGAGGCAGCAGUGAGGAAUAUUGGUCAGUGGUCGGGAGACUGAACCAGCCAAGUAGCGUGAAGGAUGACUGCCCUACGGGUUGUAAACUUCUUUUGUUUGGGAAUAAAGUGAGGCACGUGUGCCUUUUUGUAUGUACCUUACGAAUAAGCAUCGGCUAAUUCCGUGCCAGCAGCCGCCGUAAAAC